rnacentral:rRNA from 1 species
GAUGAACGCUGGCGGCGUGCCUAAUACAUGCAAGUCGAGCGAACAGACGAGGAGCUUGCUCCUCUGACGUUAGCGGCGGACGGGUGAGUAACACGUGGAUAACCUACCUAUAAGACUGGGAUAACUUCGGGAAACCGGAGCUAAUACCGGAUAAUAUAUUGAACCGCAUGGUUCAAUAGUGAAAGACGGUUUUGCUGUCACUUAUAGAUGGAUCCGCGCCGCAUUAGCUAGUUGGUAAGGUAACGGCUUACCAAGGCGACGAUGCGUAGCCGACCUGAGAGGGUGGUCGGGCACAAUGGAGGAGUGUCACGGAAAGGACGAAUACGGGAGGCAGCACGAGGGAGUGUUCGGUGAGGGUCGAAAGAUUGUAAAUGCAAGGUAGAGGGAGUGAAUAAGGGAUUAGGAUACUAAGACUGUGUUAUUGGGGAAUAACCAAAGAGCAAGUGAUUAUGCACGGCUGGCAGGGGCCUAAUCAGAACGACACCGCUAGUCACCUC